ACAGAUGCUACUAUGCUCAUCACUAUCACUACUAUUUCUACUACCAUCAUGGGUACCGCUGCACUCGCUACUGGCUUACCUACCGCUGCAGGCGAUGCCAGCACUACUGAGCUGCAGCAGCGCCCAGUGAUCACAGUGCUGGAGUUUACCUGACAGCAGACCUGCAAGCAAAGCUUAAACACACCAGCAACCUUCUUUUAUAGCAUCGCUGUAACCUUUCUGUUCUGGUACCUCUCCCCACACACAGCUACAGACCCAUACUUAUUUCUAUCAGGCCAUUCACAGCUUGUUUAAAACAGCUGCUCCCUGUUGUGCAUUUGGUCAAUCUCUUCAAGGAUAUAUAAUAGAGACAACAUUGUUUUUCUAUUGGGUGAUUCCCUGCCUCUCAUGAAGCAGGUCUUUACAUUGUAUGGAAAGGUGUCCUUAUUUAACGUGUAGUCUCAGAUUCUCAGUGAGAUCACAUGCUCACACAUGUUUGAAUAGAAAUACAACUCCACAUGGGCACAUAUACAAAGAGUUACUUGGAGAGCGUGCUUGAUUGAUUUGCCUCAGCUCAUAAUCACUGCACCGAGUCAGGUUUGACCAGUAGACUCCUUUCUUCUCCCAGCUCCUCACAGCCACACUGUGAUGUCACAAGUGACCCGUGACAGGCCUUGUUCACAGACUGACAAAAACAUUGUGUUUAUAUAGAGAUUUUCUUCAUCUCUCAAUUAUUUUAAAAUCUCUUUAUUUGCAUUCAUGACAACAAAUGCUCCAACUGUUGACCAGUAUAAAUGCUGUCCUGCCAAAACAACACGAUCUGCUGUUACAUGAAACUGGG